rnacentral:rRNA from 1 species
CAUAGGUUAAUGAGGCGAACCGGGGGAACUGAAACAUCUAAGUACCCCGAGGAAAAGAAAUCAACCGAGAUUCCCCCAGUAGCGGCGAGCGAACGGGGAGGAGCCCAGAGCCUGAAUCAGUGUGUGUGUUAGUGGAAGCGUCUGGAAAGGCGCGCGAUACAGGGUGACAGCCCCGUACACAAAAAUGCACAUAUUGUGAGCUCGAUGAGUAGGGCGGGACACGUGGUAUCCUGUCUGAAUAUGGGGGGACCAUCCUCCAAGGCUAAAUACUCCUGACUGACCGAUAGUGAACCAGUACCGUGAGGGAAAGGCGAAAAGAACCCCGGCGAGGGGAGUGAAAAAGAACCUGAAACCGUGUACGUACAAGCAGUGGGAGCCUCUUAAUGGGGUGACUGCGUACCUUUUGUAUAAUGGGUCAGCGACUUAUAUUCUGUAGCAAGGUUAACCGAAUAGGGGAGCCGAAGGGAAACCGAGUCUUAACUGGGCGUUAAGUUGCAGGGUAUAGACCCGAAACCCGGUGAUCUAGCCAUGGGCAGGUUGAAGGUUGGGUAACACUAACUGGAGGACCGAACCGACUAAUGUUGAAAAAUUAGCGGAUGACUUGUGGCUGGGGGUGAAAGGCCA